GUCGGUUUUGAAACAGACAAGCUAUGCGAGCAGUUUUAGUAAAGCAGUUUUCAGUUUAAGCGUUAUCUCUGAUAUCUCUUCUUCCUGACUUCCUUCUUAAGUGCCUCAUAAGUCCGGCCUGUUGACAAACCCCAUGCCCACUGUGGCUCAAUAAUUUAAGAAGGAAAGACAGAUGUCUAACAAAAUGACUGGUUUAGUAAAAUGGUUCAACGCUGAAAAAGGUUUCGGCUUCAUCUCCCCAACCGACGGCAGCAAAGACGUUUUCGUACACUUCUCUGCAAUUCAGAACGGCGGCUUCAAAACGCUGGAAGAAGGUCAGAAAGUUGAAUUCUCUAUCGAAAACGGCCAGAAAGGCCCGGCAGCGGCUAACGUUAUCGCGCUGUAAGACAGAGAAUUUCUGCUGCUGACAGCAGAAAGCAUCGAUUGUGAACGGCCCCCUUGCGGGCCGUUUUCAUU
rnacentral:sRNA from 1 species